AUUGAACGCUGGCGGCAUGCUUUACACAUGCAAGUCGAACGGUAACAGGGUGCUUGCACCGCUGACGAGUGGCGAACGGGUGAGUAAUGCGUCGGAACGUGCCGAGUAGUGGGGGAUAACGCAGCGAAGGUUGUGCUAAUACCGCAUACGUACUGAGGUAGAAAGUGGGGGACCUUCGGGCCUCACGCUAUUCGAGCGGCCGACGUCUGAUUAGCUAGUAGGUGAGGUAAAGGCUCACCUAGGCGACGAUUAGUAGCGGGUCUGAGAGGAUGAUCCGCCACACUGGGACUGAGACACGGCCCAGACUCCUACGGGAGGCAGCAGUGGGGAAUUUUGGACAAUGGGCGAAAGCCUGAUCCAGCCAUGCCGCGUGUCUGAAGAAGGCCUUCGGGUUGUAAAGGACUUUUGUCAGGGAGGAAAUCCCUAGUGCUAAUAACACUGGGGGAUGACAGUACCUGAAGAAUAAGCACCGGCUAACUACGUGCCAGCCGCCGCUGUAA
rnacentral:rRNA from 1 species